rnacentral:rRNA from 1 species
UACGGGGGGGAGCAAGCGUUGUUCGGAUUUACUGGGCGUAAAGGGCGCGUAGGCGGCCACCGCAAGUCGACUGUGAAAUCUCCGGGCUUAACCCGGAAAGGUCAGCCGAUACUGCGGGGCUAGAGUGCAGAAGGGGCAACUGGGAAUUCUCGGUGUAGCGGUGAAAUGCGUAGAUAUCGAGAGGAACACCUGCGGCGAAGGCGGGUUGCUGGGCUGACACUGACGCUGAGGCGCGAAAGCUAGGGGAGCAAACGGGG